rfam:Candidatus Burkholderia pumila strain TZHbot3 BPMIctg190, whole genome shotgun sequence.
CCAACCUGAUGGUGGUGAAGGACUAGCGAAACGCAAGGGCGUCCAAGCCACGACCUAACGAACAGAAAUUAGAUGCGAGGCCUACCCGGACGGACGAGCGAGCCAAUGAUCGCGAAGUUAAUAGCCAUCAAAGUCCGGGGUGGUAGAUCUGGCGGGUGUGUGGCGAAGGCGGUUGGG